rnacentral:rRNA from 1 species
UGGGGAAUAUUGCACAAUGGGCGCAAGCCUGAUGCAGCCAUGCCGCGUGUAUGAAGAAGGCCUUCGGGUUGUAAAGUACUUUCAGCAGUGAGGAAGGUGGUAGUGUUAAUAGCACUAUCAUUUGACGUUAGCUGCAGAAGAAGCACCGGCUAACUCCGUGCCAGCAGCCGCGGUAAUACGGAGGGUGCGAGCGUUAAUCGGAAUUACUGGGCGUAAAGCGCAUGCAGGUGGUUUGUUAAGUCAGAUGUGAAAGCCCGGGGCUCAACCUCGGAAUUGCAUUUGAAACUGGCAGACUAGAGUACUGUAGAGGGGGGUAGAAUUUCAGGUGUAGCGGUGAAAUGCGUAGAGAUCUGAAGGAAUACCGGUGGCGAAGGCGGCCCCCUGGACAGAUACUGACACUCAGAUGCGAAAGCGUGGGGAGCAAACAGG